rnacentral:tRNA from 1 species
AGCGAGUUGCCGGAGUGGCUAAACGGUCUUCGUUGGAAACGAAGUGGUCCCGAAAGGGGCACGAGGGUUCGAAUCCCUCACUCGCUGCCA